rnacentral:misc_RNA from 1 species
AAAAGUCGUAACAAGGUUUCCGUAGGUGAACCUGCGGAAGGAUCAUUAUUGAAUUCAAAUCAUCUGUGGCUUCGGUCCGGAUGUGCCAACAGGUAACACUGUUGGUAAUUCUAUCCAUAACACCUGUGAACUGUUGGAUGCUUGCAUCCACUUUUAUACUAAACAUUAUUGUAACAAAUGUAGUCUUAUUAUAACAUAAUAAAACUUUUAACAACGGAUCUCUUGGCUCUCG